rnacentral:tRNA from 1 species
GGCACGAUGGCUGAGUAGUAAAGCACUUGGUUUCUGAACCGAGGGCUACCGGGUUCGAAUCCUGGUUUAGACCG